rnacentral:pre_miRNA from 1 species
GAGAGGUCGGAUCCUGGGCUGUGUCCCCGGCGCCCUGUGCUCCCGGGCUUGUGCUGUUGGAUUUGCACUUCCGGCCGGCCAGGCAGCCC